AUCUGCGUUAAGAUGUCGGGGAUGUGUUAGACGAAUGAUUUUGUUUUAUGGAGCUUUGAAGAGCGAUGAAUGGCACUAAAGUGGUGCCAAAUGGAUAUCUCAAACACCCAUUGUUGAUGUGUGAUGCUGAUAAUACAGAGACAGCUAGAGUGACAGAGUUUGAUGAAUAAACUUAAAUUAAAAAACAGAAAUAACCACCAUCUCUCUCAGAGGUCAUCUUUCUCAUUAUUGUGGGGAAACCUCAAAGGGCAUCAGGAAAACCUUCAUCAACCUCUUUGUGCCCAGUGGCUUGUGCAACAGUGUUUCAGAAAUUAUCAUUAAAAUGGGGAUAAUGGAUGACUGGCCACACAUAUGGGGCUAUGUACAAGCUUCAGAGCAGGCUGCCAGGUGGUGGUGUUAGUAGUUUAUACUCCGGGUCCUGGCGUGAGCACAUUGAAGGGUCCCUGAGA